CUGGAAAAUCACCUGCAUCUUAGUACCUGCCACUUAAUUACAAUAGCCCAUGAAAUAAUACAAGGAAGGUGCUGAACAUGCUUGUGGGUGUCUGGUAUUUCAUCCCAGAGAAGAGGAAGUAACUAAGACAAUAGUGGAGAGCAAAGAGAAGAGAGAGAUAAAGGCCAAGCAAAAGCAAAAGA
rnacentral:lncRNA from 1 species